CCAAAGUUAAUUGCUUUUAUGAGGCAGAUACACUACCAGCAUCUCGUAAACUGGUGUGACACAAAGGUUAGUGAAAGACAAUCAAGAUGCGAUCAGUGUACUUUGUGGUGAUGCUGUUGUCGGUGUUUCUUGUUCUGCCAAUCGAACAGACCUUCGCUUUUAAAUUUUAUAAGAGGGAGUGUAGAAAAGAUGCACGCUGUGUGAGAACUAAAGAUUGCCGCGGCUACAUCAACAACACUUACAGGGUAAUAUGUCUCAAGGGAUGCUGUAGCUAUUAUUAUUGACCGGGCGCCAUCCAAAACUGACUUUGACCUUCACGCAGAUGGAUUUGGAUUUUUUUAAAGCAUGUGUUUGCUUUAUAAUCUAUUCAAGUUUUUAAAAAUAAAUUCUAAUUAAAAUUGAAAAAGGAAACUGUUUUUGUUUUUGAAGUUCAUGUUAGUGUACAUUUUAAAAAUAAAUCCUAAUUAAAAUUGAAAAAGAAAACUUUUUUUGUUUUUGAAGUUCAUGUUUGU